AAUUUUGGACAAUGGGGGCAACCCUGAUCCAGCCAUCCCGCGUGUGCGAUGAAGGCCUUCGGGUUGUAAAGCACUUUUGGCAGGGAAGAAAAGGCUCUGGCUAAUACCUGGAGCUGCUGACGGUACCUGCAGAAUAAGCACCGGCUAACUACGUGCCAGCAGCCGCGGUAAUACGUAGGGUGCAAGCGUUAAUCGGAAUUACUGGGCGUAAAGGGUGCGCAGGCGGUUUAUCAAGAAAGGUGUGAAAUCCCCGGGCUUAACCUGGGAAUGGCACUUUUAACUGAUAGGCUAGAGUAUGUCAGAGGGGGGUAGAAUUCCACGUGUAGCAGUGAAAUGCGUAGAGAUGUGGAGGAAUACCGAUGGCGAAGGCAGCCCCCUGGGAUAAUACUGACGCUCAUGCACGAAAGCGUGGGGAGCAAACA
rnacentral:rRNA from 1 species